GAAAAGAACUUUGAAAAGAGAGUUAAACAGUACGUGAAAUUGUUGAAAGGGAAACGAUUAAAGCCAGUCGUACCGGCGGGUAAUCAGCCUUUUGGGUGUGAUUAUGUGGAGCGUGAGGAGUUUAAUCGCCUUCAUGCCUGCAUAUUCGUGCACUUUGGGUGUACUUGCUCGUGUGGUAGGUUAACAUCAAUUUCGGUCGUCAUAAAAUGAUUGUGGGAAUGUAGCUUCGAUCUCGUAUUGAAGUGUUAUAGACUCUGGUAGAUGUGAUGAUCGAGAUUGGGGAUUGCAACGGAUACCCUUCGGGGCUACUCGUCUGAUCUCUGAGAGUUACUCUGGUGCCGAAAGCGUGCUUAUGGUAUUGGGGUAUUACGGUCAAAAGGUUAGAACGGGUUAAAUUCGU
rnacentral:rRNA from 1 species